rnacentral:rRNA from 1 species
CCUACGGGCGGCUGCAGUGGGGAAUCUUGCACAAUGGGGGAAACCCUGAUGCAGCGACGCCGCGUGGAGGAUGAAGGAUUUAGGUCUGUAAACUCCUUUUUCAGGGAAAGACUUAGGACGGUACCCUGAGAAUAAGCACCGGCUAACUACGUGCCAGCAGCCGCGGUAAGACGUAGGGUGCAAGCGUUGUCCGGAUUUACUGGGCGUAAAGAGCGCGUAGGCGGUCUGUUAAGUGUGAAGUGAAAUCUCCAGGGCUCAACCCGGAAACUGCUUCGCAUACUGGCAGACUAGAGGGAUGCAGAGGUAAGUGGAAUUCCUGGUGUAGCGGUGACAUGCAUUGAUAUCAGGAGGAACACCCAUGGCGAAGGCAGCUUACUGGGCAUCAUCUGACGCUGAGGCGCGAAAGCGUGGGGAGCAAACAGGAUUAGAUACCCCUGUAGUC